UACGUAGGGUGCAAGCGUUGUCCGGAAUUAUUGGGCGUAAAGAGCUCGUAGGCGGUUUGUCGCGUCUGCUGUGAAAACUGGAGGCUCAACCUCCAGCCUGCAGUGGGUACGGGCAAACUAGAGUGCGGUAGGGGAGAUUGGAAUUCCUGGUGUAGCGGUGGAAUGCGCAGAUAUCAGGAAGAACACCCGUGGCGAAGGCGGCUCUCUGGAACGCAACUGACGCUGAGACGCGAAAGCGUGGGGAGCAAACAGG
rnacentral:rRNA from 1 species